GACGGAGGAUGCAAGUGUUAUCCGGAAUCACUGGGCGUAAAGCGUCUGUAGGUGGUUUAAAAAGUCCACUGUUAAAGAUUGAAGCUUAACUUCAAAAAUGCCGUGGAAACUUUUAAACUUGAGUAUGAUAGGGGUAGAGGGAAUUUCCAGUGGAGCGGUGAAAGGCGUAGAUAUUGGAAAGACCACCAAUGGCGAAGGCACUCUACUGGGCCAUUACUGACACUGAGAGACGAAAGCUAGGGGAGCAAAUGGG
rnacentral:rRNA from 1 species